CUUUAGAGUAUGUCAUAUACGUGGCAUGCAAAUGCAAUCAGAAUACCAGUAAUUUUUAAUGCUUCAAAAUAUAAAAUAUACUAUUAAGGCAUGUAUUCACUUGCUUAGAAAGCUGAUUCUUAGAAGGUAUGUAUGAAUUGAUGGGCAGAACAAAGAGUAUGAGCUUAAUUACAAUAUUACACAUGUAAGGAGAAUCUUGUUUUUUCUGUUCUCUCACGACAGUAUGACCUUGCUUUUCUGAAGCUGAAAUAAAAACCUGCUAUAGAGAGAACGGAUAAAUGUUAGAAAAUGAAAUAAGCAUGAGUCUGUGAAUGGACCUAACUGCAGCUGGAAAAAGAGUGCAUGCUCUUCCUGUAUUCUUGCAGUAGAUCAAUUUGCACUAUCACAAAGCAUAGCAGACUCCAGACCACUGGAGAUGGCAGCAUAGGACGACUGCUACACUUUCAAAGCACCUAAAAGAGACCCCCUUUAGGCUCUGGAAGGCUGCUAUAAGAACUCCUGGGAGUCUUCUCUUCACCAGCCUGAGCAGCCCCAAUUCUCUCAGCCCAUCUUCACAGGAGAGGUGCUCCAGCCCUCUGAACAUCCUCACAGCCCUCUUCUGGACCUGCUCCAACAGGUCCACAUCCUUCUUGUGUUGGGGGCCCCUGAGCUGGACACUGUGGGCACAGACAGUACUGCUGAUGGGUCUCACUAGAGCAGAGGAAGGGGCAGAAUCACCUCCCUCAAAUUGCUGGCCACCAGCUGAAGCUGCACAUGUCCUUUCCUCACUUGGAGCAAGUCUCAUCUUGAGUAAAGUCUGCACUUUAGUUCUGCACACUUCUGCAAAUUCUAACCAGCCCCACACAGUACUUCACUUAGUGAAUUACUAGAAUUUAAAAAUUUUAUACACUUAACAUGAAAUUUAUUUAAAUAUGUGUUUAGUUUGUUACCUAGAAGGGUAUAAUUCAAAGGAAAAGUAUUUAGCAAUUAUGUACAGCAUGUGAUGGAUGAUUUUUGUGCCCAGAUUAUCCACAAAAAUUUGGGCAAAGACCAAAGACUUUGUAUCAUGUUAUACAGCAUUUUACUAAAUAUAAUCUAACACUAAACAGCCCCAAGACUUACAGACGUAAGUAAGUUUAUUCCCUUUUGGCACUAGAUUUUGGUAAGCUAUUCAACAAAAAUGGAAAUUUUGCCUUAUGUGUACUUUAAACUCUCCAUUAAGGUACAUGAUUUCCAAUAUCAUGUCCAAAAAUACACCUCCUGCUAUAAAUCCUUCAUUCUCUGCCUACAAGCACUGGCUUAAACUGUAAGUUAAUAUUAUUUUCAUCCAAGCUAUCUGAAACACUGAAAGGUAUUCAAACACAUUGGUUUGAAAACUGUUUUGCUUGUUUUAGCACAACAUCAUUACAACUGGCCUCUUGUAACAUGAAAAAGUUCCAAGUGGAUUAUCUGGCAUUCCAAAGCCAUAAUGCACAAGAGAAGAAAGCGCUACCGGCUGUGAUGCAAUCGCAGAAAAUAAGAAGAAAUAGUUCAACGAGCCCAAGUAUUAGCAUCCUCUUUGAUUUCUGCAAAAGUAUUACAGCCUCUACGAAGUAGGAUUCCUUAUACUUGAAGACAAACACUCCACUUUCUCUACUGAGCCAAGAAAGCACUUUUGUUCAAUGGACAUGGCUAAAAUAAGUCUGCAGAGUGAUUGGUUUCUUUAUGAAAGGCUGCCUAUCAAAGAUUAUCUAUUACACAGAACCCAUCCUAUCAAACUGAUGUUGGUUUACUGACAAUGCCUAGAUUUUAAAGUCUUUUUGACACAAUUGAAAAGCCUGCAGAAUUUCAUUUAUGAUGUGUUGGAACGUGGAUUGUGUCCUGUACUUACUUUUCAGGAUCUCUGCAUUAUAGUGUGCUGCAGCAAAUUUCAGGGAAUCAUCUGAUCUUGUGUCAAAGCUGGAGUGCUCCCUGUUGUGUUGCCAACCUCCUCUCCUCAACUGACAUUUGAAUAUUUUCCAGUAUUCUGGGUAAAGUACUGUCAUGAGUUCAUCCACACUGGAGACAGACCGCAAUUGCUCUUCCAGGUCUUUGCUUCCAUGAGCCUGCCAAAGUAACGUACAAGAUUAAUUAUACUCUCUGGUACACAAGGUUUGCUGGAAACUAGCCUGAAAAGCAAGUCAUACAUUGUAAAAGAAAGGGGUCCUCAUCAUAAAAACUGCUUCUGUCAGUCAAUGCCAACAUUUUUAUAUUGACAAACAAUCAAGUGCUUUGCUUCUUCCACCAGUUCUUUAUCACUCUUGUAGUUCAAUAUAGCUGUGUGAGAGAGGAGCUAUAGAAUUAAGCCUACACAAACACAGUUUGUAGAUUUUAGAUAUAGAUAGAUAGAUAGAUAGAUAGAUAGAUAGAUAGAUAUAGGCAUUUUUAUCCUGGAAAGUUAUAAAUGUGACAAAAUUUUGAAUGUCUGAACCCCAGUAUACCUAAAUGAUGUUCAUAUUUUUUAAUAUCAUAUGCUCCUAAAGUAACACCAAGUUACUUUAAUCCCUCAGUCCCAGAAAAUCAAAAUGCCCAGAAAUGCAAAACCAGUUAAAACACACCCAAAAAACAAACAAAACACUAAAAAAAGAAACUAAAUCAUGUUAUUUAGUACCAUUCUAGUGAAAAUCUUAAUAAGCAAAUUAUAUUAUAAAGCAUGACUUCCUAAAUCAGUAGGACACAAGGAUUUGGGUACCUUGAAGAGAAUAAACCUCAAACUCCCUUGCUGUUUCAGGAAUAGCCUCAAAUCCUGUAAUCCUGGUUUCUUAUUCUCUGGCCUUUAAACAAACUCAUUAUAUGUGUAGUUUUCUGAAUGAAUGAGAUUUACAUUCCAGUUUAUUGCUUAUCAGGAAGAUUCCUCUAUUUCUCUUAGAUGAAACAUACUGCACCAAAAGACUGGUUUUAUCCCCUGCCCACCUUUCUCAUCCAUGGAUUGCUGACUUCUCAAAGGGAAGGGCAGUAUGGAGAAAGAAGAGUAUUGAAGAACCUUUAGCCACCUUCUCAGCCCACAUGGCCCUUAGAUGGCAGUAUGAGACACAAAAUACAAAGGUACACACUAGUACAAAAUGCAUCAACUGGCUGGAGACUCUCUACAGUUUACUACAAAAUUGUUGCCCUACUCAAAAAACCUGUAAGAGUGUAAAACCUCUAAAUGCAGAAAUGCGAAGCUAUAUGAACUGAAAUUUACAAUUUCUUAUCCAACUCUGCCACUAACAAAAAAAUAAACUCUUUCAAUUCAAUGAUUUUGAACAUCACAUGAGUAAAACAGGUAGCUCAGAACUAGCCCAGCUGAAUCAAAACUGCUCCUUGUCUCACAAACAACUGUGAGGGUACAGAAUGGCACGUAUGGUUUCAUUUACUCCCUUAUCUGGUGUCAAAUACAGCAGAAACAUCUCAGGAUAAGGUAAAUUCACAGACCUCAGUUCUGUAAACACAGUUAUAUACAGAACUGUGAAGAGGAUGAGGCACUGAACCAGGUCACCCAGAGAAGCUGUAAAUGUCCAGUCCCUGGAACUGUUCAAGUGCAGGCUGGAUGUAACUCUGAGCAACCUGGUGUAGUGAAAGAUGUACCUGUCCAUGGCAGGGGACCAAGAGUUAGAUGAUCUUUAAGGUCUCUUCCAACUCAGGCCAUUCUGUGAUUCUAUUAUUCUAAUACCAAUUGUAAAUUCAUUUAAUUUGACAAAGUGUUAUGAAGUUUAAAAAAAAUUUUUUACUUAAGCCUCACUAAGCACAGUGUCCUUGCAGAUGACCAUCCUGGGAGGUUUCAACAACCAAGCCAUUGUCUCAGAAGUGUGCCCAUGCAGCUCUUCAUCUCUUUCCUUGUCACCAUAGGAAGGGCCAUCCCUGACCCAAGACAUGCAUCAAGCAGAUUCUGAGAGCUUUGACUUCAAAUUUAAUGGUAACACAGAGCAUUUCACUCCCCAUCACCUGUGCUCUCCUUGCAGGAUGCCACUCAAGGUCUCAAUCAAUGGGUCACAAACAAAAAUCCAAGCUUAACAAACAACUAAUUUGGUGACUUGCUGCUUGCACCUUCUGAGAGGUGAGAAGAGCAGGGUUUGAGCAGCCUCACUCCUGCCAAACUCUUUCCUGAGGGUGCUGCAGCACAUGGCCCCUGAGUAAUGGGAAGCAAGUUGCUGCACCAGCACAAUGCCAGCUUUGCAGAUGCACGUCUGCCACGUGAUGGGAAUACGCAUGGCACAGCGUGUAUAUCCUGUCACAAGGCUGGAAGCCAGGCUAUUAUGCAAAAGGCAGAGGAAUAAAACCUGUGGUUAGCCAUCCAGUAGCUGAUCCUAGGAGUCCUAGCAGAUCAUGGGGGUAACAUGGAAAGAGAAUUCAACCAAAGCUUUGCCACCUUUGAUUAAUCCUUAAAAGCCUGUACAGCACAAAGUAGACAAAACACUGGCUACUGCUGUUGCAGAUAUUCAAAAUACAGGCCUAGAGCAUCAGGAAAAUGAAACACAGUAUUACUUUGUUGAUAAGAAGUCAGGCAUGGAGCAGGAAAGUGAAAUUGUUAGAAAAAAUCCAUCAAGUUAUGCCUUCUGAGCUGGACACAAAUUUUUUUUAUACAUGUAUUAAAUAUGUACGAAUAAAACUCAAAAUAUGAAGAAAUUAAUGGCUUUAAUUAAGCAUUGUAUCAAAUAUAAUAAAGACUUAUUUUAACCUUGGAUAUUCUACGGGCCAUUGUGCCAUGUGCCCACAACCUGAGACAAGGAAGUCCUGGUUGUGUGUAUAGGUUAAGGAAGGAGAGGCUGGAGAGCAACACUCUGAAAAGGGACCUGGAGGUCCUGGUUGAUGUCAAGUUAAGUCAGCAGUGCCCUGGCAGCCAGGAGGGCCAAGCCUGUCCUGGGAGACAUCAGGAAAAGUUGGAAGAGGGAGGGGAUUGUCCCUCUCUGCUCUGCACUGGGCAGCCUCACCUUGAAUUUUGUGUGCAGUUUUUAGUGCCUCAGUUAAAAAAAAAAAAAAAAACAAGCUAUUAGAGAGUACCCAAAGGAGGACCACAAGGUUGGUGAAGUGUCUGAAGUGAUAGAGAAACUUGGUUUGUUCAGUCUAAAGGAGACUGAGGGGAGACCUCACUGUGGUCUUCAACAUCCUCACGAGGGGAAGCAGAAGGGCAGACAUUGAUCUAAUCACAAAACCAGUGGAAGGAUUUGAGGAAAUGGCAUGAAGCUGAGUUGGGGGAGGUUUAGUUUGGAUUUCAGGGAGAGGUUCUUCAGUCAGAGGGUGGUUGGGCACAGGAACAGGCUCCUCAGGGAAGUGGUCACAGCUCUAAGCCUGUCUGAAUUCAAGGAGUGUUUGGACAAUGCUCUCAGGGACAUGGUGUAACUCUUGGGGCUGCUGUGUUCAGAGCCAGGAGUUGGACUUCAGUGAUCCUGAUGGGUACCUUCCAGCUCAGCUAAUUCUAUGAUUCUCUGAGUACUCCCUUAAUAUAAGCAAAUGGAAAACAAUUUCUAGAGCAGAUAUAGAAAAAACCUUUUAAAAAAUAAUAAUUAUUGCAUCUGAAAUAUUUUCUGCUUAGCAUAAUUUGCUUGUAAAGAUGACUUCAAUUCAAAUUUAUACCAUGGAAAAACAAUCUGAUCAUGAGAAAAUUUUUGUUCUCUCCCCUUUUUCAAUUUAGAAAGAAAAGGAGAAGAAAAUUCAUAUAUAUGUACUAAAUACACUGCACCCAGUGGCCAGAUUUAGGGAGAAAAAAAAAUGUUGUUUUUUCAAUAUGCUUACAGUGUUACCUUGAGAUACAAGUCAAUGAUUUCUUCCUGUACAUAUAUGUAUUUUUUAUCUGCAGCAAAUUACUCUCAUCUGUGGAAAACUGUUUAGAUGAACAUUUGUUUAAGGAACUUGUGAUUUAAUUUUGUACAACAGCCAAACAUCUUGUUGACAUGAACAUCAAAUGAAAUCUUAAGUUCUGGAUGAUUACAAGAGUGUGUCCUGCAUACAGGAUAAGCAUCAGAUCACUAAGGAUCAUUAGAAAGAGUUUCCUACUUUUUAAGGGAAGAAUGAAUCUGCUUCUGUAAAUAUAAUAGUGGUCUGCCAACAUUUUUGAUUUUGUGCAAAUUUUGGUAAUUUCACAAAAAUAUACUGUCAUGGUCCAUAUCUUUUUAAUUAUGCAUUGGCUUGUAGUGUAGGACACUGGAUUUCCAUUGCAAAACAAUUUUGAGACUUAAACACAUUUAGAAUAUAUUAUGACACAAAGAAAGCAGCAUCAACAAAAAUGUACUAGAGAUUAGAGAAGCUCUCUUUUUACAUUCUUCUUAUGCAAGUGCAGAUUAGUGAAGUUCAGAAAGAAAUAUGGCUUGUAGCUGCAAUUACUGUCACCAAGCUGGCUAUUCCCAAAUGUUAAGUUCAAAGGGAGGGGGGAAAAAAAAGUAAUAGAACAUUAGCACAGGUUGUAAUAAGAGAGAUUCUAUGACUUUUAGGACUGAAGAACACUUUUUUAUAAAUUUAAACACAGUUGAUUUACAUAUAAUUACAGAGCACUCCUGAUGAAAUCGUGGACCAACUCUUUAAUGUUUUACUGGUAGUGCAUUCUGGAAUCUAUGUUGUACAUUAAGAAGGAAGCAGGAAAUAGAGCCAAGAGUGAUUGAACAGGAGGGAGUUUUCUCUAUUCCAUGCUUGCUAUAUUCUUGGCAUUUUCAAAUCAGUUAAGGGAUUGGGGUUUUAAAUUUAGGUUUUUUUUGACCACCACCACCACCACUCCCUUCCUAAGUGUUUAUCCUCUGGUUGACCAUUCUACUAUUUUUUGUCAUUUUUACCUAUUAUCAGUGUUGUCCUGCAUGAACAUCUGAAAAGGCAAGAAGGUGUAUUCUAGAGAAAGACACUGAUUAAACCUUUGACAAGCAAAACUCUAUAAGAUGAUAGGUGAUAUUAAGCAGAAUAACAACCUAAAAAUACAAGUGUAAAUGGAGAAUACAAUAAAAAUACACUUCUCCAUUUCAAUAAUUUCACAUUUUUUAUGAGGAACAGGAAAAGCGAAAAAUACAUAUAAAUAAAGGUGCAAAACUUGAAGACAAGUGCUCUUUUGCUAUUAUUUAACUUUAGAAUAUUUCAUUCUGUCAAAGUAUGUGUUUCAUAAUGUGGCUUUCCAUUACAUGGUAUGCCCAGUUUUUCAUGAAAUUAUGGCUUACAAGGGAAAGGGCAGGAUACAAAUAGGCUCUAUAUCCAUUAACAAAGUCAAAUGUAUAAUAGAUUUUCCAUGCAUUACUUAUCUUUCAUAUGUCCCCAGUGUUUGCCUCUAUUAUUAAUAACAAAGGUCAGAACACUUAAUAUUUGGCAGCAUGCUUGACACAUAAUUGAUGGUGCAAUAUGCUAUAAUGGUACCUUCAGAAUCUGUUCUGACUACAGUUGACAGCUCAUUUCAUUUUCAAGGAUUUUGUGGACAAUUCUGAAGAGGAAAAUGCUGUCUAUAAACCCCUGUAUUUAAGGAUGCUUCUGUAUAUUCUGUACUUAUUGAUUGAUGGAAAUGGAUUAAAAUCAAGUAUUUAAAUCUGAA